UUAACAUUUAUUAUUAUCACCUCAACUUAGAUUCAAAUUACACAUGAAUAGACUCUUUAACAUUUAUUAUUAUCACCUCAACUUAGAUUUGUCCUGUGUACUAAAUGAUAAUAUUUUUUUUUGCCUUUUUAGCUUAAAGUCACUUCCCCAAAAAAUAAAAACGAAGAAGAAGAAGAAGAAGCAGGAGAAGAAGAAGAAGAAGAUUAAAAUAAUAAAUAUUGAAUGGUCCCAAAUCUAAAAUCUCAAAAGAGAUGAGUAUAAUUUAACUUUUUUUUUUUUGUUUUUUUGGGGUGCACAUCCAUGUUGGUUGAAAGUUGUUUGUAUUUUAUGCCCAUGAUUUUUUAAAAUUAUUGAGUGGCUACCCCUACAAUUUUAAAAAUACCUCAAGAUAUAAUUAUGUCCGCACGGAUAUUUUGACUAAUCACGUCACAUCACGAUCUGUAGACUCAAGUCACUCAACUCUCAACCCAUCGUCUCUGGCCUCUCCCUCCGGCGAUCCCCAUGUCCAUCGUCUCUCUCUCUCUCUCUCUCUCUCUCUCUCUCUCUCACACACACACACUUGUCAAGAAAUAAGAACCCUAAUUUUCAGAGCUGUCCUCAUGUUUGCCAGACUCUCAACUCUGAUCAUUGUUAGGUAUUUACUGUUCUUGUCUAGUUGGCUUCAAUACCAGUUUCAUCCCUCACUCGCCCUCCCAAGAAGGACCUCAUCUACGUUGUAUUUAAUCCUUUAUUUAUGAUGAUUUCCAAAGAAUCCCGCAAAUCUUGUCCUCAAUCUAGUCAUGCUUUCUCUGGUGGUGGUGGCUGAGACAAUAUGAGACUUUAUAUGCUUUAUUCAGGUUGUCACGGAAGCGAAGAAACUAUGAAUGCAUAGUUCAUUUUGGUUCUGUUAAAAAGGUGUAUUCAAUAUUUAUGUGUAGGAGAUGAAUUGUUAAUGUAGUCAAUGAAAUUAUCAAUGAAUGUUAAAGUUAUUGAGGUACUUUGAAAAUUUUAUCUUCUUGUUUAAGGCCACUCCCCCAACAUUAUUUUCUGACUCCGUCACUGGCCAUGCAUUAUUCACCCCACAGUGGUCACAAGGGGGAGCUCAAAACCAUGUUAGACCAAGGAAUUACAUAGGGAGGAGGAGGGAAGAGAAACAGAGAAGUGUGAGUAGUAGGGGGAAAAAAAAAAAAAAUUUAACCCAGAUGGGGAAGCAACCCAUAUUACAGAGUCUGAAAUAGAAUUCAAGGGAAGUGGAAGGCUGAGUAAGCAUGGUUGUGAAGUCACUGAGAGAGGCGUAUCUCUGGAUAUGAGAGUGUACUUGAGGAGAUCAUAUGUCAAUUUUGAUUGAUAAAGGCCCUGAGGGAAGCCAGUUAUCAAACCAGAAAGAUGUAUUUGAGCCAUUGCCAACCACAGAUUUGGUGAGAGGAAACCUCUGAAUUGAAGCAAUUUCAAUAACAUUUAUUAGGUAUGCUCAAAUCUCAAGACUUUUCUCUUCUUUAAUGAGAAAGUUGCAUCGAAUAUUUGUGAAUAUAAGAUUAUGCAUAGUUAAACCAAAGUUAAAUCGUAUCAUGAAGCCUUCUCAUUAGAUGCUCCACACACACCGAUAUAUAUAU